UGUCAGUUUGCUGAGAACGGCGAUUUCUUAUACUAAUUCUCCACUCACAAAUAUCUUGAGUAGGGGAGGAUUGUAGGACAGAAAAUUAGAAGGUGAGCUUUUAAAUGAGAUGGAAGAGAAUUUUUGUUGUUGUUGUUCUGGCUAAAUGUUUGGUGUCUGAACUUGGAGAUGGGUUGGCGUCUUCCUGUAUUGGUGGAGGGAAAUCAGCCACUAUUCCAUGAAAUUAGUCUAGGGCUAAGGCCUAUUGGGAUUUGGGAAAUAAUGCUGUUCAUUUACAUUCACUGUCUCUUUUUCCAUUGGAAUGGGAGUUUGGGGUAAACAGUUGGUUAGUUACAUUACAUUGUCCUGCUUUCUCUGUAGUUAGAUGUCUCCAUAUGACUGAGUUCCCUCUAAUGGAAUAUGAGUGGAAGUGAUGAAUUCCACUGCCAGGCCUGGCUCUCAAGCCUUUGGAGUAUUUUAUCAUGCUCUUUUUCCUGCGUAACUAUCAUGGCAAUAACCAGAGAGAUCCUGGAACUCAUGUAAUAAAAAUGGUAGAGUGGCCACCAGACUAAUCCCUGAAUGGCUGCAUGGAGAAAAGCCAGUGCUGGUUUGGAACCCCUACCCUGGACUUCUAUAUGAGAAAGAUGUAUUUUUUAGACAACUGAAUUUUUGGAAAGUUUAAAUAAAAACAGCAAAUUGAAAAAAAUAGGUCUAUAAAACUAUUUGAGUAUGGCUCCUGGCACCUGGAUACGACAAGAAAUAGCUUUGAAGGGCAUCUGAUUGCUUCCAGAUCUAUGCACUUUUGGCAGUACUCAUUUGUGAGCAUACAGUAUGACAACACCGUGAUGGCUGGAACAUGCACCUCAUGUGACCUAGGAAUGAAGGAAGACUGCCUUCCUGACACAUCACCCUCUCUCUGCCCAGGAUCUGUAUGUCCUUCUGCUUUACACUAUGGAAUAGUGCACCAUGAAGGGCUUUGCAAGAUGCUGGCACCUUGACAUUAGACUUCCCAGCCUUCAGAACUAUGAGAAACAUAUUUCCUUUCUGGGCUGCUGCAGCAACACAAAAUGGACUAAGACACAAGGUCAUACUCGAGAUCUACUGAAUCAGAAUUUCUGAAGGUGAAUCACAAUAAUCUAUACUGUAAAAUAACAUCUUAGAUGAAUCUUUAAAUGUAAAACUUUAAAAAAAUUUAAAUCCUUCUUGACUUUUUAAUUCUUGAAUUUCAACAAUAUGUCUAGAAAGGUAAACAUCAAUCUGUUUACAGUGCUAACUUCUGACUGUAAUAUGGAAGUAGGGCAGCCUAUUACUUUUCAAGUACAGAUCUUUGAAUUGUUCUUUUCCCCAAUUAUUAAAAAAAUGUAAUUUGAUGAUCUCUGGUAUUAUGAGUUAUGUUUUCUCUGUAGAUUUCUCCCUCCCUCUUCGUUUGCUGGAGAGGGGCAUAUUGGAGAAAUGGUGAUGAGACAGUGAGGAGUCUAUUUUGAGGUUUCAGAUCUAGGAUGAUUGAUAAUAUCUGGGAGACCUAUUGGGAGGAGGAAUGGAGUGAGAAACUUCGCCACAAUUCUUGGUGGUUAGCCAAGAACCAAAAUGUAGAUGCUAAAUGCCAAAGCCAAGUUUAAGUGGUAGAAAUGAGGUAAGAGACGUAGAAUAAAGCACGCAUAAAAAACUGGCAAGAAUGAGAUUGAAGUAAGAAGAAUACAGAAAGAUGGCCACAAUGAGAAAUAAAUACUUCUCUUUGGGGGCUGACAAUUUCAUGGCACAAAGGAAUCC
rnacentral:lncRNA from 1 species